rnacentral:ncRNA from 2 species
GCAACACUGUCGCAGCAUGGUGCCCCGUCGGGCCGCGUCAGAAGCCGCGGCAAGGGGGCUGAAAUGGGAAUGCGGACACGGGGGACCCAUACCGGGCCCCGUCAGACCGCAGCCGCCCCCGCGACUGUACGCGGCGAGCGCGCGCCGAUCACGCCACUGGGUCCGCACGGACCCGGGAAGGCCGGCGCAAGCGACGACCCGCAAGCCAGGAGACCAGCCAUGCACCGGGCGCCUCG